rnacentral:rRNA from 1 species
AUACGGAGGAUGCAAGCGUUAUCCGGAUUUAUUGGGUUUAAAGGGUGCGUAGGCGGUUUGCUAAGCGGGAGGUGAAAUGCCGGCGCUCAACGUCGGAAGUGCCUCCCGAACUGGUGGACUUGAAUGACUCUGCCGUGGGAGGAAUGUGUAGUGUAGCGGUGAAAUGCUUAGAGAUUACACAGAACACCGAUUGCGAAGGCAUCUCACGAAGGGUUGAUUGACGCUGAGGCACGAAAGCGUGGGGAUCAAACAGGAUUAGAUACCCUGGUAGUCCACGCAGUAAACGAUGAUGGCUAACCGCUGGGCUUAUCAGUUCAGUGGCCAAGCGAAAGCGAUAAGCCAUCCACCUGGGGAGUACGACCGCAAGGUUGAAACUCAAAUGAAUUGACGG